GCUUGUGGCCAUACCACCCUGAACACGCCUGUUCAGUUGGGCCUGGUUAGUACUGGGACGGGACACCGCCUCGGAAUACCAGGUGCUGUAAGCA
ensembl:rRNA 5S_rRNA 5S ribosomal RNA